rnacentral:pre_miRNA from 1 species
UCUCAAGGAUGAGCAAAGGAAGUGGCUUGUUGAGAUGCAGUCUACUCCUGAUGAAGAGGUUGUGAA